rnacentral:sRNA from 1 species
GCGAGGCCCGAUUGGGCUCGCAUUUUGGGCGCCGGGCCAAGGUGUCCGGCGGCUCUCGUCAUCACGUUGCUCUCAAGGAGGAUGUGGUCAUGAGGA